rnacentral:rRNA from 1 species
UACGGAGGGUGCAAGCGUUAUCCGGAUUUACUGGGUUUAAAGGGUGCGUAGGCGGGCCUUUAAGUCAGUGGUGAAAGCUCCGAGCUUAACUCGGAAACUGCCAUUGAUACUAUUGGUCUUGAAUUCGGUCGAGGUUGGCGGAAUGUGUCGUGUAGCGGUGAAAUGCUUAGAUAUGACACAGAACACCGAUUGCGAAGGCAGCUAGCUAGACCGACAUUGACGCCGAGGCACGAAAGCGUGGGGAUCAAACAGG